CCUACGGGCGGCAGCAGUGGGGAAUAUUGGACAAUGGGGGCAACCCUGAUCCAGCCAUGCCGCGUGUGUGAAGAAUGCCCUCGGGUUGUAAAGCACUUUCAGUGAGGAAGAACGCCUGGUGGUUAAUACCCAUCAGGAAAGACAUCACUCACAGAAGAAGCACCGGCUAACUCCGUGCCAGCAGCCGCGGUAAUACGGAGGGUGCGAGCGUUAAUCGGAAUUACUGGGCGUAAAGCGCGCGUAGGUGGCUUGAUAAGCCGGUUGUGAAAGCCCCGGGCUCAACCUGGGAACGGCAUCCGGAACUGUCAAGCUAGAGUGCAGGAGAGGAAGGUAGAAUUCCCGGUGUAGCGGUGAAAUGCGUAGAGAUCGGGAGGAAUACCAGUGGCGAAGGCGGCCUUCUGGACUGACACUGACACUGAGGUGCGAAAGCGUGGGUAGCAAACAGGAUUAGAUACCCCUGUAGUA
rnacentral:rRNA from 1 species